rnacentral:rRNA from 1 species
CCUACGGGGUGCAGCAGUGGGGAAUAUUGGACAAUGGGCGAAAGCCUGAUCCAGCCAUGCCGCGUGUGUGAAGAAGGCCUUCGGGUUGUAAAGCACUUUCAGUGGGGAAGAAAGCCUUGGGGCUAAUACCCUCGAGGAAGGACAUCACCCACAGAAGAAGCACCGGCUAACUCCGUGCCAGCAGCCGCGGUAAUACGGAGGGUGCGAGCGUUAAUCGGAAUUACUGGGCGUAAGGCGCGCGUAGGCGGUCUGAUAAGCCGGUUGUGAAAGCCCCGGGCUCAACCUGGGAACGGCAUCCGGAACUGUCAGGCUAGAGUGCAGGAGAGGAAGGUAGAAUUCCCGGUGUAGCGGUGAAAUGCGUAGAGAUUGGGAGGAAUACCAGUGGCGAAGGCGGCCUUCUGGACUGACACUGACGCUGAGGUGCGAAAGCGUGGGUAGCAAACAGGAUUAGAUACCCGGGUAGUC